rnacentral:rRNA from 1 species
GACAUAGGUGGCGAACGUUAUCCGGAAUUAUUGGGCGUAAAGGAUGCGUAGAUGGUAGAAUAAGUUACUGGUCGAUGCCAAACUCAAUUUGGCGGAAGCCGAUAAUACUGUUCUACUCGAGGGCAGGAGAGGUUGUUGGAAUUCUGUGUGGAGCGGUGAAAUGCGUUGAUCUACAGAGGAACACCAAAAAAGGCGAAGGCAAUCAACUAGUCUGUUCCUGACAUUGAGGCAUGAAAGCGUGGGGAGCAAACCGG